UAAUGAAUCUACCUCUAGCUCAGUGCCAUCAAUAUCAGUCAACGGUGGAUUUAUCGGUCAGAUCAAGUCAUAAAAACAUUGAGUAGGCUUUAAAUACAAACGGGCACCUCUGUCGAUACUUACUCACACGACAUAGCCUGCGGCAAUGUCCGACUCAAUGAUUUACAGUCGAAUGCAAAUGACUUAACCAGUUAAAACAAAUGCAAAAUAUCUCCGAUAUCGAUGUUAACAAUUUAGCUAAAAAUAAUCAAAAAUAAGCCAUCGAUUUGACGUCUCAUGAUUGACCGGUCACGCGAUAACGAAAGUACAUCCCCAUUGAAUUCGGUUCUGUGGCCCACUUCAAAAGGUGAGGAGGCCCUUUCCUGUCAGGCUCAGCAGGAGGUUGCAUAUUAAUGCUCUACCUGCCUGUUAGAAGUGCAGACAGCUGACCUGAGAACAGAAGGUAGAGAACACGUGUCACGCCAUAGGUAUCAGAGUCCACUGGCCCAGCACUUCAGCAAGCCUCACAUCAUGACGGGGAGCAGGCUGCACAUGAGAAAACCAGCAAACCAGAUCGUUGUGAUCAGUGUGUCUCCUCAUCAAACAAAAUCCUCUCAAAUCUGCACAGGACAAUGACCCAACACACUUCCAGGCUGUGUAAGGGCUAUUUGACCAAGGAGGAGAGUGAUGGAGUGCUGCAUCAGAUGACCUGGUCUCCACAAUCCCACGACCUCAACCCAAUUGAGAUGGUUUGGGAUAAGACCGCAGAGUGAAGGAAAAGCAGCCAACAAGUGCUCAGCAUAUGUGGGAACUCCUUCAAGACUGUUGGAAAAGCAUUCCAGGUGAAGCUGGUUGAGAGAAUGCCAAGAAUGUGCAAAUCUGUCAUCAAGGCAAAAGGUGGCUACUUUGAGGUAUCUCAAAUAUAAAAUAUAUUUUGAUUUGUUAAACACUUUUUUGGUUAAUACAUGAUUCCAUAUGUGUUAUUUCAUAUUUUUGAUGUCUUCACUAUUAUUCUACAAUGUAGAAAAUAGUCAAAUUAAAGAAAAACCCUUGAAUGAGUAGGUGUGUCCAAACUUUUGACUGGUACUGUAUAUAUACCACUCAAGAAAAUAACCUUUUUUGACUGCAGCUAGGCCAUUCCACUAAUUCUGUGCCUUUUAAGAAGUGUAACGUGGUUAUUUCACCUAUUAAAACAAUUAUGUCAUAAAGAGCAAAUGUUCAACUUAAUAAAAAACUUGUUUUCCCAUCUAAAUCGGUUAAAUAAAAAUUUAAAAUGCUAUAGUAAAUGCCUUUUAAGUGCCAAAUAAAGUAACAGGGUUGACCAUAAGGUUGAUGAGUUCAUGUUAAAUCAGCCAUAAAUCCCCUUGUGACAGGGUGAAUGGAAACUUGUGUGCAACAGGGAGUGGUAAUUAAAUGCAAGCUUCACAAAAAAAAUGUAAUUGUUGAAACAACUGUAGCCUGUCUACAGUAGGUUGGUUGGAUGUGUUAUUUAUGAUUAAAUAUCCGCAAUCCAUAGUAUUAUCCGUGUGAGAGUGAUGAUCUAGCUGUCUACUGUAUAUGGUUUUGGGGGAACUGGAGAGUUCACCCGGUUGCUGUUCUGUGUAUCAAGUGUCAUCUUUAGUCAUCCAAAUUCCCUCUUUUCGGCCCCCUGCCCUUGCUCCAAACCUUUACCAUCCGCAUGAUUGAUACCCAGUCUUACGAGGUAUCUUUGCCCCCUCCUUCAGAGGUCGUGUAUCGGGUGUCCAGAUAUUAAAGGAGCUCUUCUUCUGAUGGUGACGCAGGCUCCUUGCUGGGUUGUCAAAGGAAAACACGCAUGAGAAGCACAGCAGUACCUCUCACUGCUCCCUCCACCUUGAAAUCUGGCACUUCUUUUACAUAGCUGAAGGGGUAUUUAUAAAGAGAAACAUCAGAGGUCUGACAUGUGAACUGGCUGACAAGUGCAUCUCACUGAAAAAUGGCCUUGGUCUAAUGUCUGAGGUAAUAGU